rnacentral:rRNA from 1 species
UAGGGAAUCUUCCACAAUGGACGAAAGUCUGAUGGAGCAACGCCGCGUGAGUGAAGAAGGGUUUCGGCUCGUAAACUCUGUUGUUAAGAAGAACAUAUCUGAGAGUAACUGUUCAUACGUUGACGGUAUUUAACCAGAAAGUCACGGCUAACUACGUGCCAG